rnacentral:rRNA from 1 species
AACGAACGCUGGCGGCAUGCCUAACACAUGCAAGUCGAACGAGACCUUCGGGUCUAGUGGCGCCCGGGUGCGUAACGCGUGGGAACCUGCCCUUAGGUUCGGAAUAACUCCCCGACAGGGGUGCUAAUACCGGAUAAUGUCUUCGGACCAAAGAUUUAUCGCCUUUGGAUGGGCCCGCGUUGGAUUAGCUUGUUGGUAGGGUAAAAGCCUACCAAGGCGACGAUUCAUAGCUGGUCUGAGAGGAUGGUCAGCCACACUGGGACUGAGACACGGCCCAGACUCCUACGGGAGGCAGCAGUGGGGAAUAGUGGACAAUGGGCGAAAUGCUGAUCCAGCAAUGCCGGGUGAGUGAUGAAGGCCUUAGGGUUGUAAAGCUCUUUUACCCGGGAUGAUAAUGACAGUACCGGGAGAAUAAGCUCCGGCUAACUCCGUG